CUCUGUGACUCCUACGGGAGGCAGCAGUGGGGAAUAUUGCACAAUGGGGGAAACCCUGAUGCAGCCAUGCCGCGUGUGUGAAGAAGGCCUUCGGGUUGUAAAGCACUUUCAGUAGGGAGGAAGGUAGUGUAGUUAACACCUGCACUAUUUGACGUUACCUACAGAAGAAGCACCGGCUAACUCCGUGCCAGCAGCCGCGGUAAUACGGAGGGUGCGAGCGUUAAUCGGAAUUACUGGGCGUAAAGCGCAUGCAGGCGGCCUGUUAAGUCAGAUGUGAAAGCCCCGGGGCUUAACCUCGGAAUUGCAUUUGAAACUGGCAGGCUAGAGUCUUGUAGAGGGGGUAGAAUUUCAGGUGUAGCGGUGAAAUGCGUAGAGAUCUGAAGGAAUACCAGUGGCGAAGGCGGCCCCCUGGACAAAGACUGACGCUCAGAUGCGAAAGCGUGGGGAGCAAACAGGAUUAGAUACCCUUGUAG
rnacentral:rRNA from 1 species